rnacentral:rRNA from 1 species
CACGGGUGAGUAACGCGUAUCCAACCUUCCCAUAACUAAGGGAUAACCUGCCGAAAGGCAGACUAAUACCUUAUGUAAUUCUUAGAUGACAUCAGAAGAGAAUGAAAGAUUUAUCGGUUAUGGAUGGGGAUGCGUCUGAUUAGCUUGUUGGCGGGGUAACAGCCCACCAAGGCAACGAUCAGUAGGGGUUCUGAGAGGAAGGUCCCCCACAUUGGAACUGAGACACGGUCCAAACUCC